rnacentral:rRNA from 1 species
AUUGAACGCUGGCGGCAUGCUUUACACAUGCAAGUCGAACGGCAGCACGGGCUUCGGCCUGGUGGCGAGUGGCGAACGGGUGAGUAAUAUAUCGGAACGUACCCAGAAGUGGGGGAUAACGUAGCGAAAGUUACGCUAAUACCGCAUACGAUCUAUGGAUGAAAGCAGGGGGCCGCAAGGCCUUGUGCUCCUGGAGCGGCCGAUAUCUGAUUAGCUAGUUGGUGAGGUAAAGGCUCACCAAGGCGACGAUCAGUAGCUGGUCUGAGAGGACGACCAGCCACACUGGAACUGAGACACGGUCCAGACUCCUACGGGAGGCAGCAGUGGGGAAUUUUGGACAAUGGGCGCAAGCCUGAUCCAGCAAUGCCGCGUGAGUGAAGAAGGCCUUCGGGUUGUAAAGCUCUUUUGUCAGGGAAGAAACGGUAGAGGCUAAUAUCCUUUGCUAAUGACGGUACCUGAAGAAUAAGCACCGGCUAACUACGUG